GCGGUGAAAUGCAGGUUCCCGUACGAUCACCGAAGUUAACUAGCAUCAAGCCUGGUCAGUACUUAGAUGAGUGACCGCAUGGAAAUACUAGGUGU